AGCAGGCGCGAAAUCUUUACAAUGCGGGAAACCGCGAUAAGGGGACACCGAGUGCCAGCAUUUAUGUUGGCUGUCCACAUGUGUAAACGGCAUGUGUUAGCAAGGGCCGGGCAAGACCGGUGCCAGCCGCCGCGGUAACACCGGCGGCCCGAGUGGUAAUCACUUUUAUUGGGUCUAAAGGGUCCGUAACCGGUUUGAUCAGUUCUUCGGGAAAUCUGACAGCUCAACUGUUAGGCUUCCGGGGAAUACUGUCAGAC
rnacentral:rRNA from 1 species